rnacentral:rRNA from 1 species
UACGUAGGGCGCAAGCGUUGUCCGGAAUUAUUGGGCGUAAAGAGCUCGUAGGCGGCUUGUCACGUCGGGUGUGAAAGACCGGGGCUUAACCCCGGUUCUGCAUUCGAUACGGGCUAGCUAGAGUGUGGUAGGGGAGAUCGGAAUUCCUGGUGUAGCGGUGAAAUGCGCAGAUAUCAGGAGGAACACCGGUGGCGAAGGCGGAUCUCUGGGCCAUUACUGACGCUGAGGAGCGAAAGCGUGGGGAGCAAACGGG